rnacentral:rRNA from 1 species
UACGAAGGGUGCAAACGUUGCUCGGAAUUAUUGGGCGUAAAGCGCACGUAGGCGGCAUUGCAAGUCGGAUGUGAAAUCCCUCGGCUCAACCAAGGAAGUGCAUCCGAAACUGCUGUGCUUGAGUACUUAAGAGGAUCGCGGAAUUCCCGGUGUAGAGGUGAAAUUCGUAGAUAUCGGGAGGAACACCAGUGGCGAAGGCGGCGAUCUGGGAAGAUACUGACGCUGAGGUGCGAAAGCGUGGCGAGCAAACAGG